UACAAUUAUUGAUUGAUCCGUUUUAAAUUUUGAUUAUCGUUUGUUUCAAAAGUAAUUAUGAGAUAUUUGUUAUUAAUUUUUGUAAUUUAAAGCUGGCGGAACCAAUACGAGAGACUGAGGUGUAAUUGACAGUUGCAAUAAAAUAUCAACAAGCUCUGCAUAAAUGUAACAUUAAAACUAAUCAGCAAUUAUCCUCGCAAGGUCGAACACUGAUCUAAGUGUUAUGAAAUAUCUGUUUUACUUUACCUUUUUAAAAAGUAAAUUGAUUACAUUUUCUUAUGUUCAUUUUAUGUUUAAAUUUAGACAACAACAAAGUAGAACGUAAUGAUAAAUAACGCAAUAGUAAAAUUGUAUAGGACCUUAAACUCUUGCACCGAUAAAAUAGUCUCGCAGAUAGAAUGUGUAACUUUAUAUUUAGUUACAUAUAAAUUUCUUAAAUGUUUGUUCUCUGAAACUGCGUGUAAGUAUAAUCAAUGAUUGGAAUAAAAUAAUUGUAUUCAAACAAAAAAUCAAAUAAUUUACGGCAACUUCAAUUAAUAAAAAACAUAAAUACUUAAUAUUACUGAAACGUAUCAAAUGCUAAAACAACUAUAAUUGCAACAAAAAUUAAUCAAUCGAUCACCUCCAAUAGAUGCUUCAGUUACUAAUUUAAACUACAAAAUUCAACUACAACAGCAACAUCGGGCUAAAAGUGUCUUCUGCUCUGCAUCAAGUUCUGUAUGCUUACUACCUUUUCUCUGAUUUCUACUAAACUUUUUUCUACAACUACAAUAUAUUCAAAACAAAAGCUAAUCCAACUCGAAACUUCUAAAUGGGCAUUCAAACGUAAUAGGCGGCGAAUUGCAAGAACGCUUGAUACCGGUCCCAUAUAGCAAGAGCAACACUGAUCAAGCUAUACGAGUGGUAAACGCAUUCCGCCAGGGUCUGGACGCCCGUUACGGUGAUCACACCAACACAUCCCUGGCAGAGGUAUUGCGUAAGCAGACUUCGUUGAGCAAACGCCUUUCGGAAACGUCUUCCAUUGAGUAUGCCGAUAAUAUACCUGAUGAGCUGACCAUACCCGAAAUUGAUGUCGAACGUCUAUCAUCCCACAGUCAUACUGAAACUGCAGUUUAAAGUUCAGUGGAAUCCAUAUCCAUAUGAAAACAAACCGCACACAUUCUAAGAAAUAACAAUUCUAAGAAAUCCCUAGUACAGCUUAAGUGCUUUAGAAUUUUUAUAAAAAGGUUUUGUUCAAGAUAACAGCAAAUGUAGCUGUGAAUUGGUUAAAGAGCAUUUUGUAAUUCAGCAAAAAAAAUCCGUAACGAAAACGUAAAUUUCCGAUAUCUUUUGUUAGUAUGUGUGCUAACAAAAUACAAAAAGUACUUAAUAUAAAUAUAACUGUAAUGCAAGGGCAUACAUACAUUGAUUAUAACCACCUUUAACUCGAAAUGUAAGCGGAUCGGUUUUGUCUCGCACACUGAAGCCAUUAAUUAAUAUUUUAUCGUAUUUAA
rnacentral:sRNA from 1 species